rnacentral:rRNA from 1 species
AGAGUUUGAUCCUGGCUCAGAUUGAACGCUGGCGGCGUGCCUAACACAUGCAAGUCGAGCGGUAACAGGUGUAGCAAUACAUGCUGACGAGCGGCGGACGGGUGAGUAACGCUUGGGAAUCUGCCUGUUAGUGGGGGACAACCCGGGGAAACUCGGGCUAAUACCGCAUACGCACUACGGUGGAAAGCCGGGGACCGCAAGGCCUGGCGCUAACAGAUGAGCCCAAGUCGGAUUAGCUAGUUGGUGGGGUAAUGGCCCACCAAGGCGACGAUCCGUAACUGGUCUGAGAGGACGACCAGUCACACCGGAACUGAGAGACGGUCCGGACUCCUACGGGAGGCAGCAGUGGGGAAUAUUGGACAAUGGGGGAAACCCUGAUCCAGCGACGCCGCGUGGGUGAAGAAGGCCUGCGGGUUGUAAAGCCCUUUCGGUUGGGAAGAAAAGUUGCGACCUAACACGUCGCGACCUUGACGUAACCAACUAAAGAAGCACCGGCUAACUCUGUGCCAGCAGCCGCGGUAAUACAGAGGGUGCGAGCGUUAAUCGGAAUUACUGGGCGUAAAGCGCGCGUAGGCGGCUUGGCAAGUCGGGUGUGAAAUCCCCGGGCUCAACCUGGGAACUGCA